GUGAGGAAUAUUGGUCAAUGGGCGAGAGCCUGAACCAGCCAAGUCGCGUGAAGGAAGAAGGAUCUAUGGUUCGUAAACUUCUUUUGCAGGGGAAUAAAGUGCAGGACGUGUCCUGUUUUGUAUGUACCCUGAGAAUAAGGAUCGGCUAACUCCGUGCCAGCAGCCGCGGUAAUACGGAGGAUCCGAGCGUUAUCCGGAUUUAUUGGGUUUAAAGGGUGCGUAGGUGGUUUGAUAAGUCAGCGGUGAAAGUUUGCAGCUUAACUGUAAAAAUGCCGUUGAAACUGUCGGACUUGAGUGUAAAUGAGGUAGGCGGAAUGCGUGGUGUAGCGGUGAAAUGCAUAGAUAUCACGCAGAACUCCGAUUGCGAAGGCAGCUUACUAAGCUACAACUGACACUGAAGCACGAAAGCGUGGGGAUCAAACAGGAUUAGAAACCCCGGUGUCC
rnacentral:rRNA from 1 species